rnacentral:rRNA from 1 species
UUUCUGCCACCGAAUACAUUAGCAUGGGAUAAUGGAAUAGGACCCUGUCCUCCUAUUUUCAGUUGGUUUUGGCAGCGCGAGGACUAGGGUAAUGAUUAAUAGGGAUAGUUGGGGGCAUUAAUAUUUAAUUGUCAGAGGUGAAAUUCUUGGAUUUAUGAAAGAUUAACUUCUGCGAAAGCAUCUGCCAAGGAUGUUUUCAUUAAUCAAGAACGAAAGUUAGGGGAUCGAAGACGAUCAGAUACCGUCGUAGUCUUAACCAUAAACGAUGCCGACCAGCGAUUAGGAGACGUUGAAUACAAAACACCACCAUCGGUUGCGGUCGUCCUUGGCGUCUCGGUUUCGGCCGGGGCGCGGGGACGGUUUAGCCCGGUGGCACCGGUGAAUGACUCCC